UACGGGGGGGGCAAGCGUUGUUCGGAAUUAUUGGGCGUAAAGAGCUCGUAGGCGGCUUGUCACGUCGGAUGUGAAAGCCCGGGGCUUAACCCCGGGUCUGCAUUCGAUACGGGCUAGCUAGAGUGUGGUAGGGGAGAUCGGAAUUCCUGGUGUAGCGGUGAAAUGCGCAGAUAUCAGGAGGAACACCGGUGGCGAAGGCGGAUCUCUGGGCCAUUACUGACGCUGAGGCACGAAGGUCAGGGGAGCAAACGGG
rnacentral:rRNA from 1 species